GACGAACGCUGGCGGCGUGCCUAAUACAUGCAAGUCGAACGCGCUCUCGUUUAGAUUGAAGGAGCUUGCUCCUGAUUGAUAAACAUUUGAGCGAGUGGCGGACGGGUGAGUAACACGUGGGUAACCUGCCCUAAAGUGGGGGAUAACAUUUGGAAACAGAUGCUAAUACCGCAUAAAACCUAAACACCGCAUGGUGUAGGGUUGAAAGAUGGUUUCGGCUAUCACUUUAGGAUGGACCCGCGGUGCAUUAGUUAGUUGGUGAGGUAAAGGCUCACCAAGACCGUGAUGCAUAGCCGACCUGAGAGGGUAAUCGGCCACACUGGGACUGAGACACGGCCCAGACUCCUACGGGAGGCAGCAGUAGGGAAUCUUCCACAAUGGACGAAAGUCUGAUGGAGCAACGCCACGUGAGUGAAGAAGGUUUUCGGAUCGUAAAACUCUGUUGUUGGAGAAGAAUGUAUCUGAUAGUAACUGAUCAGGUAGUGACGGUAUCCAACCAGAAAGCCACGG
rnacentral:rRNA from 1 species